GAUGAACGCUAGCGGGAGGCCUAACACAUGCAAGCCGAGCGGUAUUGUUUCUUCGGAAAUGAGAGAGCGGCGUACGGGUGCGGAACACGUGUGCAACCUGCCUUUAUCUGGGGGAUAGCCUUUCGAAAGGAAGAUUAAUACUCCAUAAUAUAUUGAACGGCAUCGUUUAAUAUUGAAAGCUCCGGCGGAUAGAGAUGGGCACGCGCAAGAUUAGCUAGUUGGUGAGGUAACGGCUCACCAAGGCAAUGAUCUUUAGGGGGCCUGAGAGGGUGAUCCCCCACACUGGUACUGAGACACGGACCAGACUCCUACGGGAGGCAGCAGUGAGGAAUAUUGGUCAAUGGGUGCAAGCCUGGACCAGCCAUCCCGCGUGAAGGACGACUGCCCUAUGGGUUGUAAACUUCUUUUGUAUAGGGAUAAACCUUUCCACGUGUGGAAAGCUGAAGGUACUAUACGAAUAAGCACCGGCUAACUCCGUGCCAGCAGCCGCUGUAAAAC
rnacentral:rRNA from 1 species